CAAUAGCGUAUAUUAAAGUUGUUGCAGUUAAAAAGCUCGUAGUUGAAGAUACGAACGCUUACACUAGAACAAAGUUUCCGGUGUCUGCGUUCACUUUUCGCAAAGACAGCCUGGCCCAUUAGUUUGGGUCUUGUUUGAGUUGCGUCAUUUACUGUGAACAAAUUAGGGUGUUUAAAGCAGGCCUACGUUUGAAUACACUAGCAUGGAAUAAUAAGAUAUGAUCUUGGUCGUAUUUUGUUGGUGACUACCAAGAUAAUGAUUGAUAGAAACUGUUGUGGGUAUUCGUAUGAGCAUGUCAGAGGUGAAAUUCUUGGAUUUUGAUCAGACGAACUACUGCGAAAGUAUUUACCAAGGAUGUUUUCAUUAA
rnacentral:rRNA from 1 species